rnacentral:rRNA from 1 species
UAAUACGUAGGGUGCGAGCGUUAAUCGGAAUUACUGGGCGUAAAGCGUGCGCAGGCGGUUUUGAAAGUCAGAUGUGAAAUCCCCGGGCUCAACCUGGGAACUGCGUUUGAAACUCCAAAGCUAGAGUAUAGGAGAGGGGGUAGAAUUCCACGUGUAGCAGUGAAAUGCGUAGAUAUGUGGAGGAAUACCGAUGGCGAAGACAGCCCCCUGGGUCGAUACUGACGCUCAUGCACGAAAGCGUGGGGAGCAAACAGGAUUAGAUACCCUGGUAGUCCACGCCCUAAACGAUGUCAACUAGGUGUUGGGGAGGAGACUUCCUUAGUACCGCAGCUAACGCGUGAAGUUGACCGCCUGGGGAGUACGGUCGCAAGAUUAAAACUCAAAGGAAUUGACGGGGACCCGCACAAGCGGUGGAUUAUGUGGAUUAAUUCGAUGCAACGCGAAAAACCCUUACCUACCCUUGACAUGCCAGGAACUUGCCAGAGAUGGCUUGGUGCCCGAAAGGGAACCUGGACACAGGU